rnacentral:rRNA from 1 species
GGUCUGAGAGGAUGAUCCCCCACACUGGUACUGAGACACGGACCAGACUCCUACGGGAGGCAGCAGUGAGGAAUAUUGCGCAAUGGAGGAAACUCUGACGCAGCCAUCCCGCGUGCAGGAUUGACGGCCCUAUGGGUUGUAAACUGCUUUUCUAUACCAAGAAACACCGAUACCGUGUAUCGGGUUUGCCGGUAGUAUAGGAAUAAGCAUCGGGCUAACUCCGUGCCCAGCAGCCGCGGUAAUACGGAGGAUGCACGCGUUAUCCCGGAAUCACUGGGUUUAAAGGGUGCGCAGGCGGUAUAGUAAGUCAGAGGUGAAAAGCCCACAGCUCAAACUGUGGAAUUGCCUUUGAUACUGUUAUUCUUGAGUGUAGUUGUAGUUAGGCGGAAUAUAGCAUGUAGCGGUGAAAUGCAUAGAUAUGCUAUAGAACACCAAUUGCGAAGGCAGCUUGCUAAACUAUAACUGACGCUGAGGCACGAAAGCGUGGGGAGCGAACAGGAUUAGAUACCCUGGUAGUCCACGCCGUAAACUAUGAACACUCGCUGUUGGCAAUACACAGUCAGCGGCUGAGCGAAAGCGUUAAGUGUUCCACCUGGGAAGUACGAUCGCAAGGUUGAAACUCAAAGGAAUUGACGGGGGCCCGCACAAGCGGAGGAGCAUGUGGUUUAAUUCGAUGAUACGCGAGGAACCUUACCUGGGCUUAAAUGUAUAUUGACGUACUGAGAAAUCAGUAUUUCUUCGGACAAUUUACAAGGUGCUGCAUGGUUGUCGUCAGCUCGUGCCGUGAGGUGUCGGGUUAAGUCCCAUAACGAGCGCAACCCCUACUUCUAGUUACCAGCAUUUCGGAUGGGGACUCUAGAGGAACUGCCUACGCAAGUAGAGAGGAAGGUGGGGAUGACGUCAAAUCAGCACGGCCUUUAUGUCCAGGACUACACACGUGCUACAAUGGCCGGUACAGAGGACAGCUACAUAGCAAUAUGAUGCU